UAUAUAAAAAUGAGUUUGGAGCCCCUUUGAGGCAACAAAACUCAAGAACGGCUGAACCGAUCGGGAUGACUCUUGCAUGGUUUGAUUCGUAUUCAUGGUGGCUGUGUUUAUAUGUAAAAAUCAACUGAAAAAAUAAGAUAAUUUAGAAAGUACUGAUUUGUUAUGACCGGGGAAGAAAACUAACAUGAUCGAAAUGAAACCAAUCUAGAGUGCCAUGUUGCAAGACCUUGACAAUUGUCAAACCACCACAACUUGGCAAGACAAAGUUUGCCGGGACAGCUAGUUAUUUAUAAAAGGAGAUUGUGAGCGCAAAAAGCAACAGUUUCGAUUCAACCACUGACCAGUACACACCGAAUAUAAAUAUAAAGUCUUGUUUAGUAGUUUGGGUGAACAAACAGCGUCGUUUGCUUCGUAAGCAAGAGAGGAACUGCACUCCGGUUAGGUGAUACGUCUGUCCCGAGAGCAAAUACAACAUUUAUUGAAGCUGCUUGGAGGAGAAGCUGCUAUCGAUGUGAGGUUUAAGUUCGUCGGUGGUUUAAGCUCUGCGACACUUCCCGGUGGAAGCCAGAUCCUGUCUCAGGGCUCGCUCUAAUUUCCCUCCAUUCACAUUGAGCUACCGUUCCUGUGAUAAGACGUACGACCAUCCGAUCAAUCUCUGUUCCUCCGACGAAACAGUACCUGAAAUCGCACCUGGGUCACCAUCUACCGAACUAUAAGACACAAAAUUCAGCACGUGCUAUGAACAUUACCAACAAACAUUUUGGCUAUGCAAGAGUGGAACAACCCACUCUUAAGCAAACUUUAGCUUAAGAAACUGUUAUUUAGCUAGUUAUGUUACUUAGGAUGACAUUUCAUCGCAUUCUCCUUUUCAUAGCUCUCAUAGCUUGAGUUAAGUUUACAUGAUCUUUGAAAAAUUAUUGUUAACUGGAACGCUCCCCAGAAAAAAGUGCGAUGAAAACACCAGAUCUAACCGACACAUUUCCGCACUUUUAUUCACAAUUCCGUAUACUUAUGAGCGCGCUUAAGAUCUGCGCAAUGCGCAAUAAAAAGGGAAACAUUAUCACGAUUUGACUGAAACUAAUAGGAAUAUAAUGGGUUUGUGAAGUUUAUUUUUAAACUACCUACGCGAGGCUAUUCUUAAUUUUUCUUACGCAUACAUUUCUCUCUUUUGUAUUUUUCAAAUCACGAGCCAACGGUGAACGUGUAAAACAUUUCAUGAUUAUUAUCUUUCAUGAUGGAAUAUUAUUUUUCUUCGCUGUUAGUAAAUAACAAUAAAAAUGAACUACUGUAGAUGUAACCCUCAGUGCAAACCCUUUAACUGCAAUGCUUUUUAACUAAAAGUGCAGUUAUCGUACCGCUAUCUGUCGAAAUAAAACGUCAACAGGAAUGCAAUGUUUUUCGAAUGCACAUUGGGUGCAUUCUGAAACAACUGGCAGUUCUUUGACAUCUGUCAGUUGUUGCAGUUAUCGAAUUUCAUUCAAUAAGUGAAACGUAAACAUGCUGCAGUUAUCUAACGUCUAAUGUACUUACAAGUUUACAGCCACCAUUUGACAACCUUUCAAUUCGGUAUCGUCUGUUGUCAUCGCUAAAUCUAUUUUACUAAAAUAGAAAAAAAUAAGUUAAUAACAUCUUAACAUCUUUGUCUUUCGCUUUGUUUAGACAAGCGCUAAAUAUGAACUCUGUCUUUGCUCCAGUAGGUAGUGGUGGGAAGUGCACAAAAUGGUCAAUAAGUGCGAAUCAAUGAAUUUACUUUUAUAAAGAUCAUCCUGUACGUUGUUUGCACCGAGCUGUGUGAUGUGCUACUGGAAAUCAUCCUGCCCGGUUUCAUCACUAUACCGUCCAGCAUCCAUUAUGCCUGGUUUACAUGGAGCAAGUGACUUGAUUCAAGUCAAUGGAAAAUUCCCAGUUGAAUUCGAAUUGAAUGUGUAAACACCACCGUUCAUCUCAGUUGAGCAACUGACUUGACUUGACCGAAAGUUGAACAUGUUCAACUUUUUUGUUCAAGUCAAACGAAAUCAUCUCACUUGCCCCGUCUGAACACGCGAUUCAUGUGAGUUGAAUUGAAGUCAUCUUUCAAAUGAGCUGAAUUCAAUUCAGUUUGCUUACGCACCGCACGAGUUGAAGAAUGUAAACACUUGCUUCAAUUGAGAUGCAUUCAAGAGCAUGCAAUUGGACACCCAAGUCAUUUGCUCAGUCUAAACACGUCAUUCCAUUGGAUUGAACAUGUUUGAGAAGUUUGCAACUCACAUGCUCGUUUCAAUUGAACAGUCUAAACCAGGCAUUAGAGACUUUAGCUUUAUCGCUAUUUCAGCAUGGAAGGAGAAAUAACUGAUUGAUAGUCAUACAAGAUUACAGAGGAUCCAUACCUGCCCUGUUCGAGAGAGAAAUGCUGCCACGAAAUCAGACACGUAAUUCUUUCCUAUUCAUGAAAUGCAAACAACAGUACCGAUUUUUGAUGACGAUGGAAAUAAUAGAGGCAAUAAAAUGUG